GAGUUUGAUCUUGGCUCAGGAUGAACGCUAGCUGGAGGCUUAAUACAUGCAAGUCGAGCGGGAUUGAGGUAGUAAUAUCUCAUGAGAGCGGCGAACGGGUGAGUAACGCGUACACGACCUACCUUUGACUGGGGGAUAGCCCUGGGAAACUGGGAUUAAUACCGCAUAUAAUUUCGAAUAGUAAAGGAUUUGGAAUGAAAGUUCAGGCGGUCAGAGAUGGGUGUGCGUCUGAUUAGCUAGUUGGUAAGUAACGGCUUACCAAGGCGAUGAUCAGUAGGGGGCGUGAGAGCGUGGUCCCCCCACACGGGUACUGAGACACGGACCCGACUCCUACGGGAGCAGCAGUAAGGAAUAUUGGACAAUGGCCGCAAGGCUGAUCCAGCCAUCCAGCGUGCAGGAAGAGGCCCUAUGGGUUG
rnacentral:rRNA from 1 species